UACAGAGGUCUCAAGCGUUGUUCGGAUUCAUUGGGCGUAAAGGGUGCGUAGGCGGCGCGGUAAGUCGGGUGUGAAAUCUUGGAGCUUAACUCCGAAACUGCAUUCGAUACUGCCGUGCUUGAGGACUGGAGAGGAGACUGGAAUUUACGGUGUAGCGGUGAAAUGCGCAGAUAUCAGGAGGAACACCGGUGGCGAAGGCGGAUCUCUGGGCCGAUACUGACGCUGAGGAGCGAAAGCGUGGGGAGCGAACAGG
rnacentral:rRNA from 1 species